GAUCUCCUGGCGCAGUGGUAGCGCACCAUAUGUACGUUAUGGAGACCCGUGUUCGAUUCACGGGUAGAUCA